GCCUGGCUGGCUCAGUCGGAAGAGUGUGUGACUCUUGAUCUCAGGGUCAUGGGUUUGAGCCCCAUGGUGGGUA
rnacentral:tRNA from 1 species